rnacentral:rRNA from 1 species
UACGAAGGGUGCAAGCGUUGUUCGGAUUUAUUGGGCGUAAAGCGCGCGCAGGCGGAAAUGUGUGUCAGAUGUGAAAUCUCGGAGCUUAACUCCGAAAGUGCGUCUGAAACUGCAAUUCUAGAAUACUGGAGGGGGAAGGGGAAUUUCACGUGUAGGGGUAAAAUCCGUAGAGAUGUGAAGGAACACCGGAGGCGAAGGCGCCUUCCUGGCCGGUUAUUGACGCUGAGGCGCGAAAGCGUGGGGAUCAAACAGG